rnacentral:tRNA from 1 species
GGUCCGGUGGCCGAGUGGUCAGGCACGGGACUGCAAAUCCCCCAACGGCGGUUCGAUUCCGCCCCGGACCUCCA